AGGACCCCAAGGCCCCAGGCCCAACAUUAGGAAAACUAACCCCUGUGCCCUGAAGCUGCAAGAUGUUCCCUUACCCAACCCCCAUGUCAAAACCCCACCAGCUGCACGUAGCACUUCAAGUCUCGCACAAUGUUACCACAAGAUGUUCCAUAUAGAUAACCCCAGAAGGGCCAAACUUGAGCAAACAGGGUAAAAACAGGAACUAAAAGGACAGGAUGCAAUUUUAUGUUUUUUCUGAGAACUAAAGUGGGAAAACAAGUUUACCCCCCUAGGUGACUCAACUGCUGAAUUCAGAGGGACCAAUAGGAAGGCUGUUGCUGUGCUAAGCUAAGACCUAACCCACCUGUUCCCUAUAAAAAGAUCUAUACCCCAAAGCCCGGUGUGCCAGUUCACCGAAGCUCCGGCUGAGGUUUUGCUGUGCACCCGCAGGCGCCUGUGUGAGAAUAAACGCCUCCUGCUUUUUGCAGCCAGUGUCUCGUGUGGUUCAUUCCGGGUUUGGGAUCUGUGGAUAUUUCAUUGUGGAGGUCCCACCGAGAUCCAAGAUCCCGGUUCCGGUUCCGAUCCCGGUCCCUAUCCGGAGGACACCCGACAUCACUGGGAGACUCAUUUGCAUGCUUUGCAAUUGGUCCAGAACGAGGUCUGGAAGCCUCUAGCCGCAGCAUACAAAGAGGAACUUAAAACCCCCUUGCUGCCACAUCCCUUCAAGGUCGGAGAUACCGUCUGGGUACGCAGGCACCAGAGCAGGAACCUCGAACUGCGGUGGAAAGGACCCUACACUAUCCUGCUGACCACUCCUACUGCACUCAAAGUGGACGGCAUCGCUGCUUAGAUCCAUGCUUCCCACGUGAAGACUGCACAUCCACAGGAGUCCGCAGACACCUCUCCGGAUCCAGAAUGGAAGUUGCAACGUACCCAAAAUCCGCUAAAGAUAAGACUCACUCGCUGUUAAUUUUUCUUGCUUUGUGCUGUGUCUUCCCCAUAUCAGUUAACCCCAACCAAUCUGUGAGCCAGACAUGACAAGUAUUAUCGGGGACAAGAAAUAUAAUUUAAAAAAAAAAAACAAAACAGGAUCCCCCACUUUCUGCCGACUCUUGCAGGAGCCUAAAAUGGUACGGGGCAGGGCCAUGUACCGCAUUUGCCUGCAACCCCUUAAACAUUACCUUUACUCAGGCAGGCAAAGCAUCAAAAAAUUGGAUAAAAAAAAAAAAAAAAAACAAUGGGGCCUGAGAGUAUAUCAUAAAACUGCCUAUGACCCUGGGGUCCUAUUCAAAAUUAGAUUAAUAGUAAAUACCAACCCCCAACCAGUAUGCUGAGCCGUCAGCUGAAAUAAUGCUGGAAUCCGAGCAGAUGGGUCAAUGGAUAUAAGAUUAUAUCCAUGAUAUAAAAAAGGGGGGAAUGAAGGACCCCAAGGCCCCAGGCCCAACAUUAGGAAAACUAACCCCUGUGCCCUGAAGCUGCAAGAUGUUCCAUAUAGAUAACCCCAGAAGGGCCAAACUUGAGCAAACAGGGUAAAAACAGGAACUAAAAGGACAGGAUGCAAUUUUAUGUUUUUUCUGAGAACUAAAGUGGGAAAACAAGUUUACCCCCCUAGGUGACUCAACUGCUGAAUUCAGAGGGACCAAUAGGAAGGCUGUUGCUGUGCUAAGCUAAGACCUAACCCACCUGUUCCCUAUAAAAAGAUCUAUACCCCAAAGCCCGGUGUGCCAGUUCACCGAAGCUCCGGCUGAGGUUUUGCUGUGCACCCGCAGGCGCCUGUGUGAGAAUAAACGCCUCCUGCUUUUUGCA